rfam:Nematostella vectensis strain CH2 x CH6 NEMVEscaffold_224_Cont19619, whole genome shotgun sequence.
GCCGAAAUAGCUCAGUUGGGAGAGCGUCAGACUGAAUAUCUGAAGGUCCCUGGUUCAAUCCGGAGAGUUUGUA